rnacentral:misc_RNA from 1 species
GAUGAAGAACGUAGCGAAAUGCGAUAAGUAAUGUGAAUUGCAGAAUUCAGUGAAUCAUCGAAUCUUUGAACGCACAUUGCGCCCCCCGGCAUUCCGGGGAGCAUGCCUGUUCGAGCGUCUUUUGGAAUACCCCUCACGCCGGCGGAGGCGUGGUCAUGGCGGCGGUGGCGUGCCCCGAGAGGGAGGCCACCGCGCUGGAAUCCAUGGGCGGACGCCUGCCGCGUGGCCGAGCGUGAUAAGACGCACUGGCGCUCGCGCGCGGCGAGGCUGCCGGCCCUGGCCCGCUCGUCGGGCGGGGACAGCAACACUUGGGAACUCCUCGAAUCAGGUAGGGAUACCCGCUGAACUUAAGCAUAUCAAUAAGCGGAGGA